GGAAUAUUGCACAAUGGGGGGAACCCUGAUGCAGCGACGCCGCGUGAGUGAAGAAGUAUUUCGGUAUGUAAAGCUCUAUCAGCAGGGAAGAAGAUGACGGUACCUGACUAAGAAGCCCCGGCUAACUACGUGCCAGCAGCCGCGGUAAUACGUAGGGGGCAAGCGUUAUCCGGAUUUACUGGGUGUAAAGGGAGCGUAGACGGCAGGGCAAGUCUGGAGUGAAAGCCCGGGGCCCAACCCCGGGACUGCUUUGGAAACUGCCAUGCUGGAGUGCUGGAGAGGUAAGCGGAAUUCCUAGUGUAGCGGUGAAAUGCGUAGAUAUUAGGAGGAACACCAGUGGCGAAGGCGGCUUACUGGACAGUAACUGACGUUGAGGCUCGAAAGCGUGGGGAGCAAACAGG
rnacentral:rRNA from 1 species